AAUGAACGCUGGCGGCAUGCCUAACACAUGCAAGUCGAACGAAGGCUUCGGCCUUAGUGGCGCACGGGUGCGUAACGCGUGGGAAUCUGCCCCUUGGUUCGGAAUAACAGUUAGAAAUGACUGCUAAUACCGGAUGAUGACGUAAGUCCAAAGAUUUAUCGCCGAGGGAUGAGCCCGCGUAGGAUUAGCUAGUUGGUGUGGUAAGAGCGCACCAAGGCGACGAUCUUUAGCUGGUCUGAGAGGAUGAUCAGCCACACUGGGACUGAGACACGGCCCAGACUCCUACGGGAGGCAGCAGUGGGGAAUAUUGGACAAUGGGCGAAAGCCUGAUCCAGCAAUGCCGCGUGAGUGAUGAAGGCCUUAGGGUUGUAAAGCUCUUUUACCCGGGAUGAUAAUGACAGUACCGGGAGAAUAAGCUCCGGCUAACUCCGUG
rnacentral:rRNA from 1 species